rnacentral:rRNA from 1 species
GACGAACGCUGGCGGCGUGCUUAACACAUGCAAGUCGAACGGUAAGGCCCUUCGGGGUACACGAGUGGCGAACGGGUGAGUAACACGUGGGUGAUCUGCCCUGCACUUCGGGAUAAGCCUGGGAAACUGGGUCUAAUACCGAUAGGACCACUGCCUGCAUGGGUGGGGGUGGAAAGCUUUUGCGGUGUGGGAUGGGCCCGCGGCCUAUCAGCUUGUUGGUGGGGUGAUGGCCUACCAAGGCGACGACGGGUAGCCGGCCUGAGAGGGUGACCGGCCACACUGGGACUGAGAUACGGCCCAGACGCGUACGGGAGGCAGCAGUGGGGAAUAUUGCACAAUGGGCGCCAGCCUGAUGCAGCGACGCCGCGUGAGGGAUGACGGCCUUCGGGUUGUAAACCUCUUUCAGCACCGACGAAGCGCAAGUGACGGUAGGUGCAGAAGAAGGACCGGCCAACUACGUGCCAGCCGCCGCCGUAACAC